GUGGCGCACGGGUGCGUAACGCGUGGGAAUCUACCCCUUGGUUCGGAAUAACAGUUGGAAACGACUGCUAAUACCGGAUGAUGACGUAAGUCCAAAGAUUUAUCGCCGAGGGAUGAGCCCGCGUAGGAUUAGGUAGUUGGUGUGGUAAAGGCGCACCAAGCCGACGAUCCUUAGCUGGUCUGAGAGGAUGAUCAGCCACACUGGGACUGAGACACGGCCCAGACUCCUACGGGAGGCAGCAGUGGGGAAUAUUGGACAAUGGGCGCAAGCCUGAUCCAGCAAUGCCGCGUGAGUGAUGAAGGCCUUAGGGUUGUAAAGCUCUUUUACCCGGGAUGAUAAUGACAGUACCGGGAGAAUAAGCUCCGGCUAACUCCGUGCCAGCAGCCGCG
rnacentral:rRNA from 1 species